rnacentral:rRNA from 1 species
AGAUUGAACGCUGGCGGCAUGCUUUACACAUGCAAGUCGAACGGCAGCACGGGUGCUUGCACUUGGUGGCGAGUGGCGAACGGGUGAGUAAUACAUCGGAACGUGUCCUGAAGUGGGGGAUAACGCAUCGAAAGAUGUGCUAAUACCGCAUAUCCGUCUGAGGAGGAAAGUAGGGGAUCGAAAGCCUUAUGCUUUUGGAGUCGGCGAUGUCUGAUUAGCUAGUUGGUGGGUAAUGGCCUACCGAAGGCGACGGAUCAGUAGUUGGUCUGAGAGGACGGCCUGCCACGACGUGGGACUGAGACGACCGGCCCAGACUCCGUACGGGAGGCAGCGAAGUGGGGAACUUUUUGGGACUAAGUGGGCGCAAACGGCCGAGUCACGACACGUA